rnacentral:rRNA from 1 species
GACGAACCGUGCGAACGUUAUUCGGAAUCACUGGGCUUAAAGCGCGUGUAGGCGGGAGGGGACGUCGGCCGUUGAAAUCCCCCGGCUCAACCGGGGAAGUGGCGCCGAUACGGCCCUCCUGGAGGAACGUAGGGGGACCUGGAACUUCCGGUGGAGCGGUGAAAUGCGUUGAGAUCGGAAGGAACGCCCGUGGCGAAAGCGGCUCACUGGACCAUAACUGACGCUGAUGCACGAAAGCUAGGGGAGCAAACAGG